GAUGAACGCUGGCGGCGUGCUUAACACAUGCAAGUCGAACGAUGAAGCCCAGCUUGCUGGGUGGAUUAGUGGCGAACGGGUGAGUAACACGUGAGUAUCCUGCCCUUAACUCUGGGAUAAGCCUGGGAAACUGGGUCUAAUACCGGAUAGGAGCGUCCACCGCAUGGUGGGUGUUGGAAAGAUUUAUCGGUUUUGGAUGGACUCGCGGCCUAUCAGCUUGUUGGUGAGGUAAUGGCUCACCAAGGCGACGACGGGUAGCCGGCCUGAGAGGGUGACCGGCCACACUGGGACUGAGACACGGCCCAGACUCCUACGGGAGGCAGCAGUGGGGAAUAUUGCACAAUGGGCGAAAGCCUGAUGCAGCGACGCCGCGUGAGGGAUGACGGCCUUCGGGUUGUAAACCUCUUUCAGUAGGGAAGAAGCGAAAGUGACGGUACCUGCAGAAGAAGCACCGGCUAACUACGUG
rnacentral:rRNA from 1 species